AAGAGAUGAUCACUUUGAAAAAGUUUGGAAACCAAUAAUACUAAAUGUAAUAAACUUCACUUUAAUUUGGCAAAUAAGCAAAACAAAACAUAAUAAAUACCAUAAAUAGCAAAUACAAUAUAACUAAGUGGAAUUUGACAUCAGUAUCAUUUUAAAUGAUCAAAUAGGAGCAUUUCUAUGCAAAAAGUGAUUUUCGAUAUAUCAGUUUGGUGGCCAUCUUGGAAAAUGGCCGCCACAUUGAAUUUUCAAGUGGCCAGUUGACCAGAUAUGCU